GAGAGGCAGGGGACUUGUGUGAGGUAUGGAGAGGAGAUGAGUUAUUUGCCAGCUCCUGCCCUUCAGGUUUAGGUGUGAAGCACAAACUCAUGUACCCUCCACCCCGUACAUCAUACAAAUAGCAAGCAGGUCUCCUGUGGCUUGUUAGCUUGAGCACCAACAAAGAAACCUUGGGCUGGAGGCGAGAGGCGAGAAGCUUGGGCAUGAUAUCAGCACUCUAAGACCAUAGCUGCAUCCAGGUGGUCUGAAGUCACGCCAGAAGGGAUGCCAUAUCUCCACCUUGGAUUGGAACCAAAGAGGGAAGGUGACCUUGGAGAGGUUAUGUGCUUCUGCUCUGAUGAGUCAUCAUCGCCCAGGGAGAAGACCUGUGAUUCUCAGUGUUUCAGGGUUCCUGCCUGUCUGGUUAUGAGAGUAGGAAUUGGGGUGAGUCUCUCCUCCCACUCUGUGCUACAUUCAGUCUUCCUGAUGAAGACUUUGUGUUCUAUAUUCUCCAUGACACCUUCCAGUUCUUGCAUUU
rnacentral:lncRNA from 1 species